CAGUUUGACUGACUAUGGCUUUUGGUUAUCUCUGGCCAUCAGGCACUGUUAAUGCUAGUGGUGUUGUUUGUGCUUGUGCUGAGCUGAAAUCUCACUCUCUUUUUUGGGUUUAGCCAUAGAGCGAGCAGCGCUUUGUUUGCUCUGCUUCAGAGACCGGUGCGAAAAUGUUUUCGCUUUGAACGCAGUUUCAGUGUUUUAGUCACAUUCUUGGUGUAGACUACACUAAGCGGAUUUCGUUUCGUUUCAUUCCGUUUGGUGCGAGACAACUCGAGUUGUUUCCAUUUCAUUUCGUCGCUUAUCGCUCUUGCGUCUGUCGUUACGUGUUUUUGUUUUCGGGUUUAAAGCAGCAUCUAUGCAGCAUUUGAACGAAAUCUUUUGAGGCGGAGGUGCUGUUUCAUUUCAUUUGCUGUGAUUUGAGAUGACCAAGUGAAGGGUCAAUGUGUUUUCUCAUGCAAAUGCAAAGAAAAAAUCUAAAAAAAAAUUAACGAUGGGAAUUUGAAAUCACAAAUUAAAAUAUCCAUAACAUAAGAGGCAAAAAAAAAAUACACAAAAAUUAACAA
rnacentral:sRNA from 1 species